GUGAAAAACUUCUUUAAUAGCAAUGUACUUUAUCUGCUUCUGCCAGCGAAGUACUAAAGCAUUUCCUUCUGCCAUUUAAUCAAACACUGGAGGAGUCCUUAUAGCUGAAUACAUGCAGUGCGCAAGUUCCAAUCUUAUAAGCAAAUUCGCCGCAUUUCCCCUAUUUUCGAAUAAAGUUUUUAUUCAACACAUUCGUGCGUUGAAUUUUAAAUACAUAUUCAACAUACAAGCGUACACUUUGUUAUCACCUGUUGUUACCGCUCUCCGAAUAACUAAGCCGCAGCAACUGCUUCUUGUUUUAUGUUUAAUAAAGUAGAAAGAAAUCGCUUGAAAUGAUUGUGGAGAUUUAGAUUUCUCGCUAAUAAAAACGAAACUUUCUCCUUCUACUCUGUCAAAAAUAAUUUAUUAUUGUUAGAAAUUAUUUACUACUAAUAAUUAUAUUCUUUCACCUUGUUUUUAUAGCCAAGAUAGUUACACUAUAUAUUGAACACUUUAUGUUUCAUCUUAUGAUCGGUAAAACUCCAUUAAGAGCUAUUCGGAAUACUUAGUUAUCGAUCAUGAGAGGCUUCGAUUUGUAAAUCCGACUAUAUCCUUUUUGAAUUUUAUUUAAUUUAUUUUUAUACCUUGUAGAUACAAUCAGAUUCAGCACUUAUCAUCCAUAUUAGGGUCGAUUGAAGCAAUUGGAGCCAUCACUUAAGAUUGCUACAAGGAACACAAGUUAUUCUCAUAGCGUUGAACAACAGCUUUAUUUGACUCUUCCAUACAGUACUCUCGAGUAUUCUGCUGCCUUUAGAGUUAUGAAGAAAGCCCAUUAAAUGAAGAAAGCCCAUUACAAAAUCCAUUAUUAAUUCAUCAUUGAUUGGAGGUUGCUUGGUUCUGAACCAUAACUGAUAUUGUGUGAUAUUGAUCUUAAGAUGUAGAAAAAAAGUCGGUUAUUUCAACUCUGUCACACAGAAGUGUGACUUCAGCUUUGAUAUUAUAUUACCUUAUUUUUUUUCAAUAAGAGAGCGCAUGGAUAUGGUUAUCGAUGUAACAGAACCUUUGGACAUCCUCAAUAUGUGAGAAACCUAGUUCGAAAUUGUAGAGGAGAAACAUCUUCAGCAAAAGAAGUGAACGAAUAAAUCACCAAUAAUAAUUAAUUAUACCAGAUAAAAUAUAAUCCUAUUGAUUCUUGUAAGAUUAAAAUUUUUUAAACUUAAGAAACAAGAAGCAGUGGGAACAAUUUUCUAUUGUUCGUAAUGUCCUUGAUCUGCUGCUAAUAUGUCUAUGUUAAUAUAAAACCGCAAUAGAUUUAUUUA